rnacentral:rRNA from 1 species
GACGAACGCUGGCGGCGUGCUUAACACAUGCAAGUCGAGCGGUAAGGCCCUUCGGGGUACGACGAGCGGCGAACGGGUGAGUAACACGUGGGUGACCUGCCUCUAGCUCUGGGAUAAGCCUGGGAAACUGGGUCUAAUACCGGAUAUGACUCCACGGCGCAUGUUGUGGGGUGGAAAGCCUUGUGUGGCUAGAGAUGGGCCCGCGGCCUAUCAGCUUGUUGGUGGGGUGAUGGCCUACCAAGGCGACGACGGGUAGCCGGCCUGAGAGGGCGACCGGCCACACUGGGACUGAGACACGGCCCAGACUCCUACGGGAGGGCAGCAGUGGGGAAUCUUGCGCAAUGGGCGAAAGCCUGACGCAGCGACGCCC